AAGUAUUAGGCCCAGAGAGGAGGAAGCCGGAGCGUGCAGAGGGCAAAGAGGUUGCUGGAGACAUGGGGACUCUGCUGAGAGCCUGCUCCUAAAAAAGUAAGGGGUCUAAGAUCUCCCCCCCCAGAUCUAUGCAGGUCCCUGGGUGACACUGGGGCAGUGACCACUUUUGUUCAGCCCAGCCCACCUCACUGGAUUGUUGUGAGGAUAAACUGUGCAGAAUUUUUAUGUGCCACUCCAGAUUUCGGACAUCCACUCUGUGUGGGACCUUCAACGUCUGUGCAGGCCCUUGAGAGCUGCUCCCUACGAAACAUGCAUCGUGGUGAAAGCUGUGGGAGUCCCAGAGCUGGCCUAGUUUACUCCUCCCUCUCAGGCAGCGCCAUGGCCUCAGAGGCACCGUCCGGAUUGUCUCU